rnacentral:lncRNA from 1 species
AUGUCACACUGCAGGGCAUUUGUGGAGGAGCAGCACAGAGAAGCAACGGAGAAGGUGACCAUCGGAGCUCCUCUUGGAGAUAAUGCAUGGUCUGGGGAUUGGAAUUCGUACAGGAAAGGAUGCUUGGUGGGGUUGAGCUCCCAGGGCAGGGGUGAGGGGUGGAGUGUAGUUCACGGAGGCACAGGCAGGUGCAAAUGUUCCAGCACAGCAGGAGAGGGAUUCAGGUGUAAGUGUCCAGCUUCCAGGACAGGCAUGCGGGUACAAGUGUCUAGCUUCCGGGACAGGAAUGGAGGUGCAAGUGUCCAGCUCCCAGGAGAGCCAUGCAGGUGUGAGUGUCCAGCUUGCAGAAGAGGCAUGCAGGUGCAAGUGUCAGGCUCCCAGGACAGGCAUGCAGGUGCAAGCGUCCAGCUCCCAGGAGAGCCAUGCAGGUGCAAGUGUCCAGUUCCCAGGAUAGGCCUGCAGGUGCGAAUCUUCAGCUCCCAGGACAGGCAUGAAGAUGCAAGCAUCCAGCUCCCAGGAGAGGCAUGCAGGUGCGAGUGUCCAGCUCCCAGGACAGGCAUGCAGCUGUGCAUGGCUCACAGGUGUCCCGAGGACAGGAGAGCUCAGCAGCCCCCUGCCCGACGCUGUUCCACCAGAGAAGGUUCCAGAAGCAUGUGUGCAAUCAGCGUCCUGGGGGUGCACUGGGCCACCUGGCUGCCGCCAGCUGCCCGCGCUGCGACCCUGGAGCUCGCACAGGUGCACAAGGUACAGAGGAUCCCUGCAGGGCUGAGGCAACAGCACGCGGCGGCCCUGCAGCUCGGGCUUCGGGAUGGUUCCGGAUGGCAGGGCGUGUCAGCAGCCCGCUCACCUGGCCGCGGCUCUGCGGGUCCGCCGGGAUGCUCGCUGUCCUUCCUCCGACGCCGCGAGCGCCGCACCUGGACGCCAGGAGCUCUCAGCGCCCCCUCCCUGCAUCCUGGGCGUCGCUCUGUGCUCCGUCCCGUCCCCAGGUCCCGCGAGAGGCUGCGGAAACACGCGAGAGUCCGCGAGACCACGCGAGAGUCCACGAAACCACGCAAGAGUCUGCGAGACCACGCGAGAGUCUGCGAGACCACACGUGAGUCUGCAAGAUGA